rnacentral:rRNA from 1 species
GACGAACGCUGGCGGCGUGCCUAAUACAUGCAAGUCGACCUUAGUGGCGAACGGUUGAGUAACACGUGGGUAACCUGCCGAUCAGACGGGGAUAACACUUGGCAACAGGUGCUAAUACCGUAUACUGAUUGAUGGACUUGCGGGGUAUUAGCUUUGUGGUGGGGUAACGGCUCACCAAGGCUACGAUGCCUAGACGGCCUGAGAGGAUGAUCGGCCACAUUGGGACUGAGACACGGCCCAGACUCCUACGGGAGGCAGCAGUAGGGAAUCUUGGGCAAUGGGCGAAAGUCUGACCGAGCAACGCCGCGUGAGUGAAGAAGGUUUUCGGAUCGUAAAACUCUGUUAUUAGGGAGGCGGUAUCUAACCAGAAAGCCCCGGCUAACUACGUGCCAGCCGCCGCGGUAAUAC